CGAGGGGUAUGGGUUGCUUUGCAACCCAGAGACCGGCGCACGGGUGCGUAACGCGUAUGCAACCUACCUUGAUCAGGGGGAUAGCCCGGAGAAAUCCGGAUUAACACCGCAUAACAUUGUGAUAUGGCAUCAUAUUAUAAUCAAAUAUUUAUAGGAUCGAGAUGGGCAUGCGUGACAUUAGUUAGUUGGUGAGGUAACGGCUCACCAAGACUUCGAUGUCUAGGGGAUCUGAGAGGAUGACCCCCCACACUGGUACUGAGACACGGACCAGACUCCUACGGGAGGCAGCAGUAAGGAAUAUUGGUCAAUGGGCGCAAGCCUGAACCAGCCAUGCCGCGUGCAGGAAGACGGCCCUACGGGUUGUAAACUGCUUUUGUACCGGAAUAAACCUGCUCUCGUGAGAGCAGCUGAACGUACGGUAAGAAUAAGGAUCGGCUAACUCCGUGCCAGCAGCCGCGGUAAUACGGAGGAUCCAAGCGUUAUCCGGAUUUAUUGGGUUUAAAGGGUGCGUAGGCGGCUUUUUAAGUCAGGGGUGAAAACUUGCGGCUCAACCGUAAGCUUGCCUUUGAUACUGAGGAGCUUGAAUACACUUGAGGUAGGCGGAAUGUGACAAGUAGCGGUGAAAUGCAUAGAUAUGUCACAGAACACCAAUUGCGAAGGCAGCUUACUAAAGUGAGAUUGACGCUGAGGCACGAAAGCGUGGGGAUCAAACAGGAUUAGAUACCCUGGUAGUCC
rnacentral:rRNA from 1 species